rnacentral:rRNA from 1 species
GAUGAACGCUGGCGGCGUGCCUAAUACAUGCAAGUCGAGCGAACGGACGAGAAGCUUGCUUCUCUGAUGUUAGCGGCGGACGGGUGAGUAACACGUGGAUAACCUACCUAUAAUACUGGGAUAACUUCGGGAAACCGGAGCUAAUACCGGAUAAUAUUUUGAACCGCAUGGUUCAAAAGUGAAAGACGGUCUUGCUGUCACUUAUAGAUGGAUCCGCGCUGCAUUAGCUAGUUGGUAAGGUAACGGCUUACCAAGGCAACGAUGCAUAGCCGACCUGAGAGGAUGAUCGGCCACACUGGAACUGAGACACGGUCCAGACUCCUACGGGAGGCAGCAGUAGGGAAUCUUCCGCAAUGGGCGAAAGCCUGACGGAGCAAUGCCGCGUGAGUGAUGAAGGUCUUCGGAUCGUAAAACUCUGUUAUUAGGGAAGAACAUAUGUGUAAGUAACUGUGCACAUCUUGACGGUACCUAAUCAGAAAGCCACGGCUAACUACGUG